rnacentral:lncRNA from 1 species
UCGUUUCUGCUCUAUCGCGUGCACUUCAUGACGUAAAGAUAUAACCUGAAGAUGUUUUUAGUUCGGACACAAUCGAGCAGUGAACAAGUUAUGGUCUGCAUGAGAUUUGAAGUGCUUCAGUAAGUAACAUGCCGAGUCAGCAGAAACAGAUAAUCCACUUUCUCAGCUGAAGAGACGAACUCUCAGUGAAAAUUUACUCGGUCACACUAGGAAGAACCUUGUUACAGUUCCACGUAUACACGUGUUCACGGCUAGGCUCCCGGCGUACGUCACUAGCUCUCAGAUGGGCAUUAAUGCAUGUGUUCGUAUUGAGUAGUAGGGAAUCCAGCGGAGAAUUAUGCAGAGUUGUCGGACAUAGCAUUACUUAACUCAUCGUUGCAAUGUAGCUGAUAGAUCUAGAGAACAUGCCCGCUUCAAAAAUACCCUGAAGGCUCGACAGUCUCUGAUAAAGUUCUCGAUUGAUGAGGCGGAGUUGUAACGUGAGCAGCUCAUGCUUGAGUUCGAAGCAGUUUAACAUUCUUGCCUGAAUACUCCGAUACCGUACGCAUGACCUUUGACGAGUUUUAAAGCCGUUUUGUUUGAGCAACCGAUAUUAUCGAAGCAACCAAUGCAGGGUUGUUGAGCAACUGGCACAAAGAUACGAAUCAUAUGCCGUGUCCUUUCGUGUCAUGUCAACCAUAGGAUGCAAAUGGCGACAUAAAGAAACCAAACACAUCAACUGUAAUAAGCAAUGGUACCCUGUUCAACUUUACUUAACCAGAAGCCAGGUGAAGUGCACUGAACAUGAAGCAGGCGAAGGACAUUAAGCCAGUCAGCGUCCACUGUCGCUAGCAGUUUACUUCUUCUCUUCCUUCUCAGCCUGCUCGGCCUUUUUCUUACGAACGCCUACCA